UGGCUGAUGUGUAGCCCAGAUUUCAUUUGGACAAUGUGAGCGCUUUUCAUUUCUGAAGAUGCCAGAACUCAGAGAUACUCCUUCAUAUCUUCAUUUAAAUACUGACUGCUCUUCCAACUGUUUCCCAGCAGGAUCUGGUUUGUCUUCCUACUGCUGCUAUCCAGGCUUCCCAGCGUGAAACCACUCCCC